GUGCUGCUUCAGCAGCACAUAUACUAAAUUUGGAAUAAUAGAGAGAAAAUUAGCAUGGUCCCGGUACAAGGAUGGCAUGCAAAUUUGUGAAGCAUUCCAUAUUUUU
rnacentral:snRNA from 1 species